rnacentral:rRNA from 1 species
UUUUUUUGAGUUUUUGACCUGGCUCAGAGUGAACGCUGGCGGUAGGCCUAACACAUGCAAGUCGAACGGCAGCACAGAGGAGCUUGCUCCUUGGGUGGCGAGUGGCGGACGGGUGAGGAAUACAUCGGAAUCUACUCUUUCGUGGGGGAUAACGUAGGGAAACUUACGCUAAUACCGCAUACGACCUUCGGGUGAAAGCAGGGGACCUUCGGGCCUUGCGCGAUUGAAUGAGCCGAUGUCGGAUUAGCUAGUUGGCGGGGUAAAGGCCCACCAAGGCGACGAUCCGUAGCUGGUCUGAGAGGAUGAUCAGCCACACUGGAACUGAGACACGGUCCAGACUCCUACGGGAGGCAGCAGUGGGGAAUAUUGGACAAUGGGCGCAAGCCUGAUCCAGCCAUACCGCGUGGGUGAAGAAGGCCUUCUGGGUUGUAAAGCCCUUUUGUUGGGAAAGAAAACUUGCGGGCUAAUACCCGGCAUAGUACUGACGGUACCCAAAGAAUAAGCACCGGCUACUCGCAGCGAUCGAG